UUUCAGAUUUACAAAAUGUCUUGCAGAUUGAAAUUGUCGUUGUCAAGCGAAUUAAUUAAAUCCUGAGUGGAGAAGUUGCCACUGUCCACCGUAUUGGAAGCUGUAGGUGCAUUGGUGGAUUGUGCUGUUGUAGCUGCAGUCAUGGUAUUUCCUGUGAUAUUAUUAUUAUUUGAUCCAAGGUUGUUUGUUCCCGAUCCAAGUGAACCGGUGGUGCUGGCUAUACUAGGUGCACCUACCGAUCCGCUCACCAUUCCGCCAGUACUUUGGUUGCUGCUCCCCACAUUCUGAUUGAUUUGCAUCAUUUGCGUAUGUUGUUGGUGCGCGGUUGGCGUUGAUGUGGUUUGUUGCACGAACUGCUGUUGUUGCAUUGUCAUUUGCUGUUGCGACUGUGACAUGUGUAGUGACGUCAUUUGCAUUUGAGUCAUCAUGUUAGCAGGCCCGCCUUGUUGCUGCUGAUGAUGCUGCUGCAGCAUUUGUUGCAUCUGUACGCUGCCUGGUCCUCCGCUACCACCGGCGUUCGCUAACAUUUGCUGCUGUUGCUGGACCUGCUGCUGUCGUAUCAUUUGCUGCUGAAUUUGUGAUGGCGUCAACUGCAUGCCAUGAUUUGGAACACCACCGAUGCCGCUGUUUCCACCCCCAGACAUAGGACCAACACCACCAGCACUUGGCAAAAAGCCUCCUGAUUGGAAAAGGAAAAAAUAAUAAAUAACUAACCUUAAGGUCCUCCACCAAAGGUCAUCUGUUGUUGCUGCGACAUCAUCAUGUGGCGCCACUCCUGCUGUGAACCCAUCGGCAUACCAUCUGGAGUAACUUGAACAUUAGGAGGACGUUGUUGUGUUCCCAUGGGACCAUUAAAAGCUCCCAUGGAUGAACGUGAACCAGCUGCAGCUGAAUGUUGCAUGUACAUCGCAUGCUGCGGGCGCAUCAUUGGUCCUAAAAAAAUACGGUGUCGCCCUAAUCGUGUAUGAAUUUAGGUUUCUCGUUAUCGCAAUAGCUAAUUAUGCUCAUCUGAAAUCUUCCGUGUUUUGGUCGUGUGGCGUUUGGCUAACAAUUGAGUACUGGCACGAGCCGGCCGCGGCGGAGUUCCCGGUAUGCGACAACAGCAGCAAUAUCUCGAACUGCCAAGCCAACGAGGCAGUCACCUAAUCAAACAUUUCGUCAGCCAGCAGUAGAGUCACAGCCGCUGUAACCGUCACAGGAGAAUCAAAAAAUAAACGCGCUAAUGCAUUGUGAGAAAGUUGCAAAGCCACUGCAACGCAUUAAAGAGACAUCAACAGAGACGAACGCAAAGUAUAACAAAGCUCCAAUGAACUCGAAAUACAAAAAUAAAAAUUCACAUUUAAUACAUACAUACAUUUGGCCGAAGCAACAUGAAACAACAUCCCAAUGAGAGUUAAAUAAGAGCGAAUGGGAGAAAUGGAAAAUCUCAAAUAUUUUGAAAACGAUGUCUUCUUUAUGCACCAGCAGUAAUCAAGGUAGGAGACUAAAAUGUAGUGAAACUAUAUCAAACCAAUGAUCAAAGACCAGAACGCAAAUGCUAACAUGGUCAAUAGCAGUGAAAAGCGCAAACGCCAAAAAGCUACAGCAAUACAGAGACAUCAUCCAUGAAGGGAUGUUCGAAUGGGAAACCAAAUUACAAUAUACAAGUACAUACAUACAUAUAUACAUAUUUGCAAGAGAAAACAACCCUCACAAAAACUUUAUGUGAAAGCUAUAAGUCUAACCAUAACAUCUGUCGAAAUCAAAAUAAAAAUAUACAUACAUGGAUUGUCAAAAUA